UUCUAAAGUUUUUGAAGUAUCCAACUGAG
rnacentral:piRNA from 1 species